rnacentral:rRNA from 1 species
GUACCGUAGGAAUAAGCACCGGCUAACUACGUGCCAGCAGCCGCGGUAAUACGUAGGGUGCAAGCGUUAAUCGGAAUUACUGGGCGUAAAGCGUGCGCAGGCGGUUUUGUAAGACAGAGGUGAAAUCCCCGGGCUCAACCUGGGAACUGCCAUUGUGACUGCAAGGCUGGAGUGCGGCAGAGGGGGAUGGAAUUCCGCGUGUAGCAGUGAAAUGCGUAGAUAUGCGGAGGAACACCGAUGGCGAAGGCAAUCCCCUGGGCCUGCACUGACGCUCAUGCACGAAAGCGUGGGGAGCAAACAGGAUUAGAUACCCUGGUAGUCCACGCCCUAAACGAUGUCAACUGGUUGUUGGGUCUUAACUGACUCAGUAACGAAGCUAACGCGUGAAGUUGACCGCCUGGGGAGUACGGCCGCAAGGUUGAAACUCAAAUGAAUUGACGG